CUUAGCCUACGGGGCGCAGCAGUGGGGAAUAUUGCACAAUGGGGGGAACCCUGAUGCAGCGACGCCGCGUGAGUGAAGAAGUAUUUCGGUAUGUAAAGCUCUAUCAGCAGGGAAGAUAAUGACGGUACCUGACUAAGAAGCCCCGGCUAACUACGUGCCAGCAGCCGCGGUAAUACGUAGGGGGCAAGCGUUAUCCGGAUUUACUGGGUGUAAAGGGUGCGUAGGUGGCAGGGCAAGUCAGAUGUGAAAGCCCGGUGCCCAACCCCGGUACUGCAUUUGAACCUGUCCGGCUGUAGUGCAGGUGA
rnacentral:rRNA from 1 species